rnacentral:rRNA from 1 species
CCUACGGGAGGCAGCAGUGAGGAAUAUUGGUCAAUGGGCGUAAGCCUGAACCAGCCAAGUCGCGUGAGGGAUGAAGGUUCUAUGGAUCGUAAACCUCUUUUAUAAGGGAAUAAAGUGCGGGACGUGUCCCGUUUUGUAUGUACCUUAUGAAUAAGGAUCGGCUAACUCCGUGCCAGCAGCCGCGGUAAUACGGAGGAUCCGAGCGUUAUCCGGAUUUAUUGGGUUUAAAGGGUGCGUAGGCGGCCUUUUAAGUCAGCGGUGAAAGUCUGUGGCUCAACCAUAGAAUUGCCGUUGAAACUGGGAGGCUUGAGUAUGUUUGAGGCAGGCGGAAUGCGUGGUGUAGCGGUGAAAUGCUUAGAUAUCACGCAGAACCCCGAUUGCGAAGGCAGCCUACCAAGCCAUGACUGACGCUGAUGCACGAAAGCGUGGGGAUCAAACAGGAUUAGAUACCCUGGUAGUC